AUCCGGUCCUGUCUACGCAUUAAGUUUAGUCAUGUUGCCUGCUGACUCUCAUAGCAACGUGCUGUCUCGUGUCGCUCUCUCCCAACGCCUCUGUCGCCGUUUCCGCCGUUUCGUUCAACAAUACGAGUUUUGUGAUUGAGUGAUUCCUGCCGUGAUUUAGGGGUCUCGCCGAUCCAAGUUUAUUUUUUAAGGGACUUCACCUUAAACCGAGUAUUUUCUAGCACCUUCCCCCCACUCUUCCUAAGUCCUAAGACGUCGCUACGAACCAGGUGUUUCCGCCGGCGCCCCGUCACCUCCGUCGCCCCGCCCCCCCAUCCAUAAUGGAGCCGUUCACCGCGGGCAUCCUGGCGGUGGGGGGCAUGAUCGCCGUGAUGCUGGCGGUCGUGGCUGCCCAGGAGAGCAACAGCAUCAAUAACAGGAAGAACAAGAACAAGAACAAGGCCCCGCCAAGCCCGCGGACGGAACAGAAAUCGCUCGAGGAGAAGAGAUACUGACUUCGAAACGUUUUAUUCUUAUUCUUUUUUAAAGAAAUCAAGAACAAUCUUUUAUUUCCUUCUCUUCCCACACACACCUUUUUUUUUACAUUUCUAUUUUUAGAUUUUUCGAAGAAAUCAAAAACAAUCUUUAUUUCUUUCUCUUCCCACACACACACCUUUUUUUUUACAUUUCUAUUUUUGGAUUUUUCGAUUUAUCUAAUUUUCUUUUUAAAAAAAUCUGAGAUUAGGAGUUCGUGAUGUGUGUUUUGGGGGAAAAUGUCUUUUGUUUUAAGUAUUAAUCACUGUGAAUUAUAUACUUGUUUUAGUUACUAUUAAUUUUAAUGAACUUGUGAUUAUUGCA